UCAUUCUCUCCAAGACGUCGAACUUCUCAGUUUAGGCAAAGAUCCGUGUCCCAUUCACGUCGCAGAUCACCUUCUCCAGUAGGGCGUCGGUUGCGUUCUCCUAUGCGACGCAGAUCACGGUCUCCUAUCCGACGCAGAUCACGAACACCUGUCCGCCGUAGAUCGCGAACACCUGUACGCCGUAGAUCGCGAACACCUGUGCGACGUAGAUCGCGAACACCUCUACGUCGUAGAUCGCGGUCACCAUUGCGCUACAGGUCAAGGUCGCCUAUCCGACGUAGAUCUCGGUCUCCUUUGUUGCGUAGAUCACCUUCUCCUAUACGACGUCGGUCACCAUCUCCUUUGAGACGGCGUUAUAGAAGAUCUCCA
rnacentral:lncRNA from 1 species